rnacentral:rRNA from 1 species
AGAGAUGUGUGAUGACGCAUAUCAAUAAGCGGAGGAAAAGAAACUAACAAGGAUUCCCUUAGUAACGGCGAGUGAAGCGGGAAGAGCUCAAAUUUGAAAUCUUAAAGGUUUCCCUUGACGAAUUGUAGUUUAAAGAAGUGUUUUCUGUAGUGGAGUUCGGUAAAAGUUCUUUGGAAUAGGACAUCAUAGAGGGUGAGAAUCCCGUAUUUGACCGCUACUUCUAGCUUUGUGAUACACUUUCAAGGAGUCGGAUUGUUUGGGAAUGCAGUCCAAAAUGGGUGGUAAAUUUCAUCUAAAGCUAAAUAUUGGCGAGAGACCGAUAGCGAACAAGCUACCGUGAGGGAAAGAUGAAAAGAACUUUGAAAAGAGAGUUAAACAGUACGUGAAAUUGUCAAAAGGGAAGCGUUUGACACCAGUGUUGUUUUUCCGAAAAUCAAUUACGAAUGUUUUAUUUUUGAGGAGUUAUGACUUCAUCGGCUUGCUUCUUUCUUUACGAAACUUUCUUAAUGCACUUUUCGGUUAACAAGUCAACAUCAAUUUCUUUUGUUGUAAAAGGGUAUGAGGAAGGUGGCUUUCUUUUCGGAGAAAGUGUUUAUAGCCUUGUACCUCUGCAAUCGGAGAGAUUGAGGUCUGCAGCGUAGAUCCUUCGGGGUUAGAUACAUUUGUGCUAAGUUAUAGCUUUUCAUAGACAACUUGUUGACUAUGUUUAGUCUUGUAGCUUACUCGCUUAUGCUAUUUUACCUACGCUUAGGAUGUUGAUCUGUAGUGCGUGCGC